UGGGCCCGGAAGCGGAGACUGGGGUAGAAGGUGGGGAAGAAGAGAUAACAGCUGGCCCCAAAGAGCGCACAGAUGCUCUGUGCGGGAUCAGCUGAUUGGCUGGGUGGCGGACGUGCCUGAUUGGCUGAGGUGCACCCAGAAGGAUUGGUUGCCACGGCAGCGGCAGGCCUGGCUGCAGAGGCCAGAGGCAGUGGUAGGCCCAGCCCAGCCACGGAGGCAAGGCCCAGGAAGGGGGGGGGGAGUGGGGGGGCAGUGGUGUGGUGGAGAGGCAGAUGCACCUGGAAGUGAAGACUGGAGCAGAAGUUGGGGGUGGGGAGAUGCUCUGUGCGGGGUUGGCUAGUAUUGUUAUUAAUAAAUGUUCCUUCAUUAACCCUUUGGUAAUAUUACAAAGUAAUACAGUGUAGGCCUUGCUAUGCAGGCAUUCUGUUUCUAGACACAUAUUAAAAAUGGACAUUUUAUCUCUCCCUAAAUGGGAUGUCAGAAUACCUCCCCCCCCGGAGGAAAUGCUACCCCUACACUAGCUAGGCGACUGAAAGUUGGUACACAUGUAACCAAAGGCUACUUUAAAAUUCUGAAAUGGAGAUUUCCAGAAGCCUCUCUAGAACAGUGGGCAAGAAUUGCAGCACAAAAUAAUUAAUAUACCACUAGGCUACCCAGAAAGCUAGAAUUUGGUAUGCUCAUUAUUAUUAUGCAUUUAAUUUAAUUUAUAUACUGCCUGACUCCAAAGGCUCAUAAACCCAAGAUACAUAGAUUAGUUGUUUGUUUACAUCUAAUAGAACAUGAAAUUGACCUCAUAACAAAGACCACUGUUUCAGCACAGAGCAAUGUCAAGCCACUUGUGGGGCAGACAUGAGGUCUUUCUCAGAGUCCCCCCAACACAUUUAGGGAACAUAUGAAGGGGCAAUGAGACUAUGAGCUCUUCCUCAUGAUCGGAGAAAAUGGCUCAAACAGGGUGAGGAGAGGAAGCUUCGAAAUGCUCCCCUCCCUCCGCAGACAAUGCACUUUUUGUUGCUGGGCGGCCAGAUUGGCUGCCCAGAUUAUUGCCGGCUGCUGCCAGUAACGAAGGUCUGGGUGCCAGGACAUUUUGCCCCACUCCCCAGAAGUCUCAUUAUGCACCGUGCAAGCACACAGUGCAUUAUGGGGAUCCCCCCACUCCCUGAAGCCAGCUGGGAGCCCCGCAGUCUGCCAGCCCUGGACGAUUGGUAAAAUGGGGUUAGGCGAAUGCUUGUUCACCUAACGCCCGUUUAAGAAACUGGCUCCGGAGGUGGGUUUGCUACCACGGCACUGCCAGGAUCGGACACAAUCCCAGCAGAACACAUGCGCAGACAAAGCUGGGCUUCCUUAGCCUGGUUUUGCCUGCGUGUGUGAAUAGCUUCUUUGUCUGCUAGCUGUUCCUCCUGACGAUGACACUGCCACUGGUCAUGUCCCUGGGUGUAGCUAUAACUGAACGAAGACGGGGGCAAAUGUCCCUGGGCUCCUGAAGGAGAGGGAGGCCUAACCGCUGAGUGACAGCUUGCCCUCUUGCCUCUCUGAAAAAGAAGGCAGGGAGGUGGGUUGAGAGGGGAUAGGAAGGGGGCUCAUCUUCCAUUUUAUCCCAGGGUCCACUGUAAUCUUGCUAUGUGCCUACCUUGAUGGCUGAACCCCUGCUAACUGAGCAAAGAGGCACCUUUUAUAGUGGCAAUUCCCUUAUAUUUAGCAGGGGGAGAGCAACUGGCCUUAUCCAACCCCAGCACAGCAUCCCUCCUCCAGUGGCUGUUGCUGAUGUCUAUGUUUCUUUUUAGAUUGUGAGCCCUUUGGGGACAGGGGGCCAUCUUAUUUAUGUAUUAUUUAUUUUUCUAUGUAAACUGCUUUGAGAAUUUUGUUGAAGAGUGGUAUAUAAAUAUUUGUAGUAGUAGUUAUCUAUUAUUUGUUAUCUAAUAUUUGUAGUAGUAGUUAUCUAGACCUUGGGUUAGGGCGGUAUAAAAAUGUGCUAAAUAAAUAAAUAAUAUAUCUCUCCAGCACCUCUCAAAUACUGCAGAUAGGGGUUUUUCCUGGCUCAGCUAAGACAUGGAGAUGGGAGUUCAUAUUCACUCAUACUUGUUGAAGAGGGCAGCCCCACCAGAGUUACAUUUUGCAAGAUUCCUCACAAUGUUAAACAUCUAUUGCUAAAAUGUCCAGGGCUGAGAGGAUGAGGAAAAUUACUCUAGUUCCUUGAAAUUUAGAAGGACAUGUUAGGCACUGUUCUUUGAGUAACUGAGUAAUUCCUCAUCAUGUCUUCCCAUGUUUUUAAAAUACUUGGCCAGAUUGUCUGAAAACCUAGCCACUUCACUUGCACCAUGUGAGCCAGGUUUCAUGACUCAGUGAAGCAAUGUGUUUGUAUGCUUUCUGCAUGUUUAUGAAAACAUGGCUGUCCUCUUUUUAAGACUGAGUCAGAGAGCAAAUAGGAUGUGCUUGCUGACAUAAGGAAGUUCAAUGCAUUAACUAUAGGCUCCAGCUGUCCCUAUUUACCAGGGACAGUCCCUGCUUUCUGACAUCUCUUCCUGGUCAGGGCCCCAUAUUUUGUCCCUGUUUUUGCCCUUUGGGAAUGCCUUGUUCAGAUUUUUUCUUUGUGAACUGUUGGAAUUGUCCAAUACUUCAGUAUUCAUCUCCCUCCUUAGAGUCUCUAGAAAUUAAAUCUCCAUUCCAUCACGUCUCCAUUGCACCUGCAUGUAAAUGGGUGCAGAGUGUAAGGCACUAUACAGUACAAAGCAUAUAGUGGGUAGGAUCCAGUCUUCAGUGAUGCGUGUGUGUGUGUGUGUGUGUGUGUGUGUGUGUGUGUGUGUGUGAUGUCACAAGUGUAUCCCUGUUUUAAUCUGCUAAAUACUGAAGGGUUUGGGCAUAUCUCAUCUCCUUGAGUAAUCUGAAAUAAUGUGCUCUACAUACACUUUAUCUCAUUUCUAUUUGUGGUAUGCUAGAAUAGUAUACAUGUCUCCCAGGUUGCUUGGCCCACACAGGAAGCUGCUGUAUAUUGAAUCAGACCAUUGAUCUAUCUAGCUCAGUAUUGUACACAGACUGGCAGCAGCCCUAUCUUGGAGAAGCCAGGGAGGGAACUUGAAAAACCUUCUGCUCUUCCCAGAGCGGCUCCAUCCCGCUUCUACACAUUCACAGGCAUGUCCCUAUUUGAUUGGUGAAAUGUUGGAGGGAAUGCAUUAACUGAGUAGAAACUUAAAGAUGGUUUUUUGGAACAUAAUCUAGCGUAGGGCUGCACAACUUAACUUCAGCUCUCCUGCAGAUGCUGGACUACAGCUUCUAUCAUCCCUGACUAGCGUCGUGUAGUGGUUAGAGUGCUGGACCAGGACCGGGGAGACCUGAGUUCAAAUCCCCAUUCAGCCAUGAUACUAGCUGGGUGACUCUGGGCCAGCUGCUUCUCUCUCAGCCUAACCUACUUCACAGGGUUGUUGUGAAAGAGAAACUUAAGUAUGUAGUACAUCGCUCUGGGCUCCUUGGAGGAAGAGCGGGAUAUAAAUGGAAAAUAAUAUAAUAAUAAUAAUAAUAAUAUUGGAUACUGUGACUGGUGAUGAAUCAGAGUUGUAGUCCAAGAACAGUUGGAGGGCCAAAAUUGUGCAGCCCUGAUGUAGUGCAUAGUGCAAGAAGGCCAGGAUGCUGCUAUGCUAUGACAUCUCUGCUCUACCUUCCUAUCUAACCACCUUUGCAGAGUGCCAGCUUUUCUUACUAGUACUACUACGAAGAAUUUUUUUAAUAUACCACUCUUCAACCAAAGUUCUCAAAGUGGUUCACAUAGAAAAACAAACAAUACAUAAAUAAGAUGGACCCCUGUCCCCAAAGGGCUCACAAUCUAAGUUACAAAGGUGGUGGUGAUACAGAACAGAAAACUGUAUACCCAAAAGGGAUGUGAGUUUACUGGCUCUGUACCUCUCAGCAGCCCUUGUACGCUUCUCACACAGGUGUGGAAAGCUCUGUGGGAGUGAUGCACUGUGUUGUUACUGCUGUGCUUGGCUCCCAUGGGAAUGCUGGGACCCAGGAGAUAGUGAAACAAGGUAUGGCAAAGGAACCUUUUCAAAUAGGCUGUUGGCCCAGUUUAUCCAAUUCAUUCAUUUCAGGAAAAAGGGAGCCUAGUUCUUAUAAGCAUGGGAAAUUAGUAUGAGUUUUAAUAAAAAUGCAGAGCUUUACUGCAUAAAUAUACUUCCAAGGGCUGCACUGCACAUUUGAACGGCUUCUCUGUUUACUUUGCCUACAGCAGCUACCUCUGAACUGCAAGUUAGAGAACUGGGGGAAAGAUCAGAGCCUUGGAAGACCCUCAAGACUCACCUGUUCUCACAGGCAUUUAAUUAGAAUUAAUUUGAAUAAUUUGUUUUAAUAAUUGUUCUAUACUGCUGUUUUAAUUUGUUUUAUGCUACUGUUUUAAUUGUUUCAUGUAUUUUAAUCUGUGCUGAUUUUUAAAUAUUCUUUGAAAUUUUGUACACCGCCAAGAGAUGUACAUAUCAGGUGGUAUAAAAAUAUGAUAAAUAAAUAUAUUAGUUGCCAUCUUUUUGUUUUCCCCCUUCACAGGCAGCAGUUCAGCAGGUAAAGCAGGCAUGGGGAAAGUAUUGCCUAUUGAAUUUUCUGUCAGUUAUGUAGCUGAUAAAGCAAUGUGAGCCCUGCUAGAAAAAAGAACUAGAAUGAGGAAACAACAUUAAAGGGAUAAGAUGAUCGUGUUCUCACACAACAUUUGUGGCUGUGCACCAAACAUUUCUAAAGUGGUCACCUAAAAAUCUCCCGUAGUUCUUCUGUAUACCAAGAGGCCAUUUUUGAAGUGGGCCAGAGGACAUUUAGGAGCAAUCAUGUCUACUGUCCUGGUGAGUUUGCUGUUCCAGUUCUCCACCAGGUCAUCAACAGAAUCACUGGCAGAGCCAACACUAAAUCCUUCCAAGGCUUCUUGGAAUCCUAUUGAGACGUAAUUGUGAGUCCAACCAUUACCAGAUGGUGGUCCAUCCACGACAAUGGGGAAAUCACAGGAGUUCCAAUGAACACCCAUGGACCGCCACUCUGAUCAGAUUAAAAGACCAGAACAAGUGUGUAACCAGCAGCAUGCAUCGGUCCCAAGACCACUUGGGAUAGGUCCUUAGUUGUCAUGGCCGCUAUGAACUCCUGAGCCACCCUGGACCAGCCUGGUGAACAUUGGUCCCCCCUCCCCACCAUAAGCUGGGAAACUCCAAUGCCAAGACCAAGUCUGACAACUCAGGGCUACUGAAUUGGGCAGUGGGAUGAUCAGUACACCAACAGAAGUCCCAAACCAUCCCUGGUCCCCAAACUUAAGUACACACAUUCCAUAUGAUCAGACACUGACAUGGAUCCUGGUAAGGGAGAUUUAAAAAAAAGAAAAAGAAAAAAGACUACAGCCACUCCACCUCCUUGCCCACAUUCUCUAGCCUGCUCAACAGAGUACUCUGGAGGGAGAAGCGGAGACUAGACUGGACCACCAGCUUCCCCCAACCAAGUAGCUGUGAUACAACACAGUCGGCCUCUUCAUCCAUAAUCAGAUCAUUAAUGAUUUCUGAUUUAUUCUGGAUCAAACUGGCAUCACAGAAGGAGCAAGGUGGGUAUUUGGGUUAGGGUAGUUGGCACUACCACUGUGGGUAGUUGGCACUGCUCCCCAAGGUCAAAGAGCUGGCAGGGCAGCCAGAAGGGAAAACGGCUGUUAGAUUUCUGAUUUCCCUUCUCCUGGAACUGCCUGCUGACUUGCCAACGUUACUACUUCUAUUCCCACCACCAUCACCAGAAUAGCCGCCCAGCUGUCAAUGGACAGACCCCCCAUUUCGACAAACCUAGAAACAUUAUUUACUAGCUUCACCCAAGACUCAAUAAAAACUACCCAGGUAGUACCUUCAGCUCUUACAACAGCCGUUAAAAAAGAAGCAGCAAAAAAACCCCUCUGCCCCAGCCCUCAGUCCCACACCAAAGUCCUGGACCUGAAGUCUGGCCACCUUUGGUGGCCUCCUCCCGCUGUUCCUCUAGAGCAGCCACC